rnacentral:rRNA from 1 species
CCUACGGGAGGCAGCAGUGAGGAAUAUUGGUCAAUGGGCGCAAGCCUGAACCAGCCAAGUAGCGUGAGGGAUGAAGGUUCUAUGGAUUGUAAACUUCUUUUAUAAGGGGAUAAAGUGCGGGACGUGUCAUAUUUUGUAUGUACCUUAUGAAUAAGGAUCGGCUAAUUCCGUGCCAGCAGCCGCGGUAAUACGGAGGGUCCGAGCGUUAUCCGGAUUUAUUGGGUUUAGCGGGUGCGUAGGCAGCCUUUUAAGUCAGCGGGGAAAGUCUGUGGCUCAACCAUCGCAGUGCCGUGGAAACUGGGUGGCUUGAGUAUGUUUGAGGCAGGCGGAAUGCGUGGUGUAGCGGUGAAAUGCUUAGAUAUCACGCAGAACCCCGAUUGCGAAGGCAGCCUGCCAAGCCAUGACUGACGCUGAUGCACGAAAGCGUGGGGAUCAAACAGGAUUAGAUACCCGGGUAGUC